CAGCAACAUCACCACCAAACCGCUUCUUGUGCAGAAAAUUCCUGAAGAUAUUGCCCCUCACAAUUCCUUCAAGAAUUCAUCCAUUUCCAGGUUCUUAGCAAGUUGGGAGGUGGAGGAGAGGAGUAGCUGUUGGUGAUUCUCUGGUUUGAGCUAAAUCAGAUGGGGGAAACUAUCGGACCUCGUCUUUACAGCUGCAGUAAGUGUGGCAACCAUGCUCGAUGCUC